UGUUUGCACAUAAAUCAUUCUGAUAAAUUAUUUUGUUGCUUAAAAUAAGAGGAGCAACUGCUUUGUGUGUUAGCAAGAAUGUCCAUACCUGAUAUGAAAGAGUCAUGUUGGCUUCAGUUCCUACUGCCCUGUGGACUUCCCAUUCCCUCCUUACUUAAGGCAACCACCCACUCAGUACUUUCCACAAAUCUAAUAAUGAGGUGCUCUCUGUAGGUAAAUCCUUUCACUAUGGCUGUCCUCAAACCUCCCAAGAAAAGGUUCAACUGCUCAAUCUCUUACCCUUUUUAAUUCCAUUCCCUUGCAGGUAUUGCGGCCCUGCAUAACAAGAUGAUCCCAACUCAAGGAAAGGGGUUUAGCAGUGUUGGAUCUUGGCGUAUGUGGGAUUUAACCAGGCAGAAAGGCAGACAAGAGUAAGAUUCUAGGCAGAGAGAGCAAAUGCAUCGAGCAUGGGUAUGAAGAUGUGAGGGAUAGAGAAUAAUUCUGCAGGAAGUUUGCUGGAUGGAAGGGCCUUAUAGGGUUAGAAAAGCUGGUGUUUGACUGUCAAGGACUUGGAAUGUCAUGGGGCUUCUCAUCCAGGAACACAUGGGAUCAGGCUUAGAUUAACCCAAAUGUAAUUGUCAGAGCCCAGAGAUAUUUCAUGGUCCAGUCCUAUCACUGUGCAGCUGCCAAAAGUCAAAGCCGUUCAAAUCUGUACUGAAAACUGUGGAAAAGCAAAGGAGCACUUAAGUCUCUUUCCCCAUCUCUUGCAUUCUCACUCUCUUUUGCCUGAAAGAUCUGUCUUUACCUGCCCCUGUCCCCAGUCCUAACAAAAAGCACUCCCCUAAAUCAAGUCUAAGUUCCUCUCCCUUCUCACUCCUUUCUUAGUCUCCUCUUUCUCGUAAGAAGUUCUUGCUCCUGUUGUUAAUGGAAGUUAAUUAAAGUAGUCUUUCACCUUUUAAGGCUGUAAUUCUUGGCACUUGUUAUCCUCAUUUUCUACAUCCAAAACCCAUGGACCAGAAUAUCUCUUAGGAGGUAAGGGAGAGUGAGGCUAUCAGCCAAAGAAAAAGUCUCCAGGGGGAAGGGGAGAAUCACUUAUAAUUUAAUACUUUGUCAAAAAAACAUCUCUGCCAUCUAUGGCCCUCCAAUAACAAUGGAAGACAGAAUCAACAGGUGAGAACCUCGGGACAAAAAUAAGUUACAAAGCUGUUGUAAUCCAGGUAAGAGCUAUUGAGUUUCCAGACGAAGGCUGACUGAGGAUAACUGAUACUGAUUUCAGAAAUCUUUAAAAAGUAGAACCAACAAGCCUUAAGGUGUAAUUCUGUUCAACAUUAAAGGGAAGAGUGAGUCUAAGAAGACUUCAGGUUUCUAGCUUGGCCAAACCAAUUGAGCUUUAAGUGAAAUGUGCGAUAUGGCAACAGAGAAGGAAAAAGACAUAACGAUAGAUUUGAGCUGCUGGUGGGAAAUUCUGGUUUAGUGCCCAGCUGGCUGUACAGGCUGGAUGGACCUUAGGAGGGAGGUUUGAGCUGGAAAAUAAAGAUGGAGGUUUGAGCUGGAAAAUAAAGUCUUUCACUUUUAGAUGAUCAAUGAGGUCAUAAGGGUAGAUGAGUUUACCUGGGAAAAUUAAGUAGCUAUUUGAUUUGGCUUAUUAUUAUGUUAAAAUAAUACUUCUCUAGUUAAGUACUUAAUAUGCCAGAUACUGUGCCAAGCAUUUUAUAUACAUCCUCUCUUUUACUAAGCCCUCAUAGGGCAGGUAUUUUGAUUCCAAUCAUACUGAUUGGAACUCCUAAGAACGUAUCUUGCUUAAGGUCCCACAACGAAUAGGUGGCAGAUCCAGGGUAAUUCAGGUCUGUCAGAACAGUGAUUCUUAAUUUUUCCCUUCCUCAGACUCCAGGAAUCACAUGAAGUUAUGGAUCCUGUCUGACCGAGGCACAGGCACACCACAUUUUUAUAUUCCGCUUCCAGGAUAUCACAAACCUGAAGCCCAUCCUCCAUGGCCCAGAGAGAAAACCCAGGACAAAACCUUGGAGAAGAGCAUUUUCGUGAAGACAAAUGGAGAAGAACACUAGAGUAAAAAGAGAGCAAAUCCAGCUGCCUGUACAAUCCAUGCCACUGAAUGCCAUAAGUGAGACUUAAAAGUUAAGAUACUGAAGAGACAUAACCUGACCAAGGCCACAGAGCUGGAAAAAGAAGCAAAGCCAAGCCCUUUUUCUCAUGCACUGCUCACAACAAGCCACUCCUUCCACUGACUCACGAAAAACACACUCAUAAUGCCCAGCCCGCACCCUAAUGAACAACCCUCUUAGAGUGGUCAUCAGACUUCAAUUUCACAGACUAGAAUUCAGAAAUGGAACAAAACCUCGGGAUACCAGCCUUCCAUUUUGGUAGGGAUCAUUUAAAAAAUGUGUUGGUGUCUCAAACUUACUUUGAAGUGGUUAAAAAACAUAAAAUGUAUAGAUUGUAACAAGC
rnacentral:antisense_RNA from 1 species